AUUCAUCUCGCCUCUUGCCUGUGAUGCUACAUGCUCCCCCUAUUUCUCGGAAUGCUUACCAUAGGCCCCACAAUGCUGGAUGCCGUACAGAUCAAGCCACCCCUGUUCUCUGCGAUGGGACACUCUAAGAAGGAGGUGUCACCCACAUUGUCAUCCCUGGUUUUCAAGUUAACUGCCAUGACGGACUUCAUGAUGAAUUUGUGGAUUUUCUCACAAGCCCUCACACCUCUGUCCUUUGAGCAUUUUGUCAACAGUGGACAACUGCUGUGAUUCUUAACACAUUUAAAAAAAAAAAUGUGAUCGCCUGUAGUCAAGUUUCCCUGCUUUGGAAGGGAAGGGGAUCCAUUUUUCAACUCAGAAUUAGAGGAUGAACCUGUUAACAGGGAGAGGCUGAGAAGAGAAAAAAUGGGGAGUUAAAUUCAGCUCUAAACGCUAUGGAGAAUCAAUAAAUAUCGACAGGCAAGGGGGCAGAAGGAAGGAGAGAGGUUUUGCCAACCUCAACUGAUAUCUGUUAAUAAUACCAAACAGCAAUCUGUCAUCAGCCUGGCAACACUGGAUUUUCCCCAAGGAAAAUCCAGGGUCCCCUCCCAGCAGUUCUUGGAGAAAGAGCUUAGAGUUCUGAGUUCCUGGGAGAGGAUGGACUGUAGGCGGGAUCAGAGUACUGAGAUCCUGACAAUUAAACCUGCUUACAUUUUCCCUGCGUGCAGACAUGGUGUUUGGAAACAGCAACCUCCAGUCAUCUUGCUUAGCUCUUUGGGGUUCUGGUCAUACAUACAUCUUUCUAAACUUCAAAAGUCUAUGCAAGCACACUGACCUGGCAGGUUAUUUGAAUUCUUGUUCUGGUUUACAAGUCUUUCUAAGACAUUUACACCAGAGCUAGAAGAAAGAGACCGGAUUUUGGAAAUUGCUCACAGGUUCGAGAGAGGAUUACCGGAGCACAAGAGCCGGGCGGAGUUCUACACUCACAACUUCACAAAGAAAGUGUAAUUGCUGCAGAAGUCUUUGUGCAACUGAGGAAGCCCAUCUCUAAGAACAAUGAUAAGAAACCCACCCUGAACUUUUUCAACAGGUAAGCUCAUUUAAAGGUGAUAACCAACAGCAACAGGAAAACAGGAAUGUCCUCAAGAAAUAGUCUAAAUUUUAAUGACAACAUUGUGAUUUAAAUGAAGAUAAACCUAAAAAGGCAGAGAGAUUUCAGAUAUCAAAAGAUUGAUUCCAUGACUCAAAAGCAUAAUGUGUAAUCUGGAGUCAGAGGCAGGUGAUAUUGACUGAAGCAUACGUCUCAAUUAUUUCUUGAGUUAGCUGGUUCUCCUCCUCUGCUGCUGUACUCUUUCUGUGCCAAAUGAGUAGCUUUUCUUAUUUCAUCACCGCAUUUUGACUCUAAUCUGAGAACAUAAUCCUUAUUUCAGUUCUAAUAAAAUUAUAUUUUUAUUUCCAUUCAUAACAAAGCAUCGCACAACAGUGUCAUAAUUACUAUGAAUUUCUUGCUUACUUUA
rnacentral:lncRNA from 1 species